AAAUCAAAACGUUGUAGGAAUUGAAGCCAUUGAGCAUGCAUACGACUAAUGAACUUUUGAGAUUGGAGAAACAUUAGAGAAAAGUGAUUAGUAAGUAUAAAUUCUUCGCUAAGGAGAUAGUGUUCCCAUUGUUUUAAAGCACGAACUAGGGAAUACAAUCCUUGUUCGUAACUGUACAAUUUCUGCCUAGAUGGACUUAGUUUUUCACUGAAGUAUUCAAUAGGAUGUUUAUCUUGGCUGAAGACAGCCCCAAUACCAAUUCCUGAGACAUCUACAGUGGCUUUGAAGGGUUGUUGGAAAUCUAGAAAUCCUAAAAUAGGGGUAGAACUUAAAACUGUUUUUUGAUUGGUUAAAACUUGUGGUUUGAGCAUCUCCCCAAGAAAAGGUUGUUUAGAUUUUAGACAAGAUGUUAGAGGGGCAGCAAUGGUGCUAAAAUCAUUAAUAAAUUGUCUAUAAAAGGAAGCUAAACCUAAGAAACUUUGGAUUUCCUUUAGAGAUUUAGGUUGUGGCCAGUCAACUAUGGCUUUUAUUUUGUGAUGAUCUAAACUAAUGCCUUUAGAGCUUAUAAUGAAACCUAGGAAGUAUAAUUGGUGUUGGAAAAAGGAGCAUUUUCUUUAUGUUGAUAUACAACGUGUUUUCCUGUAAAGUGGUAAAUAUAGUAAUCAAAUGUUCAACAUGAGAUUCAUGGUUUUGACUAUAGACAAGAAUAUCGUUGUAGUAAACAACAAAUUUAUUAAGAAAAGGUAAUAAUAUUUUAUUCAUGAGGCGCAUGAAGGUACUAGGGGCGUUGGAUAAACCAAAUGGCAUGACUAACCAUUCGAAAAGCCCUAUUCGUUUCGAAGGUUGUUUUCCAUUCGUCCUCGGACCGGAUUCAAAUUUGGUGAUAGCCACCUCUAAGAUCUAUUUUGGAAAAUAUUGAGGCUCUCCCUAAUUGGUCUAGAAGGUCCGAUAGUCUAGGAAUUGGGAAGUGGUAUUUAAUGGUAAUUUUAUUAAUGGGUCGACUGUCCACACAAAGUUUCCAAGAACCAUCUUUUUCGGGUGCAAGUAAAGCUAAAAUUGCCCAGGAUUCGGACCAGGAUCUCUGAUAUUCCCCUGCAACCUGCAACAUCAUUCUUACUGUCUUAAAGGCUUAUUAGUAUGAAAGUCAUCCCCACAAACCAACACGAAGUCCUUUCAGCAUGUUUUGUCCUCACUUACAUGCAUCCUAGGAAAAUCCCUAAAAGGUCACCCAACAUAGAAUUGCUCGAAGCUAAGUACGCUUAACUUUGGAGUUCCUAUGAUUGAGCCACCGAAAAGGAAGGUGCACCUUGUUGUAUUAACUUUUUAAUUCUUUUAAGUCUUUCUUAACAUCCUCAGGAUCUCUCUCAUUCAGAUGUGAUACCGGUUCAUUCAUAUCUCCCUCCUAAUCUUGGGGAUUACAUGCCCACCAACUUCCGCUUGGUUCGUCCCCGAACCACAUCUUACUAGGCUCGCUUUGAUACCAUCUGUAACGCCCCAAGACCAGGAUUCUGACCAUGAUUUGGAAUUCGGAUCCCCCGACUCUCCUUUAGGGUGAUUCCUUCAGGUUCACCGAGAGCCCAGAUAUGUCCCUAUGGGAUCACUGGAUAGCGUGCAUUCGGGAUUACACCAGUUAUGUGGUACUUUCUUAUAGGACUCUAACGAGAAGUUAGCAGAUACCUAGUGGGUCCCUUGCUGAGUAUAAAUUUAUACUCAUUAUUUUCUAUGUUUAAUUUUUCAGGCAAAGGUAGAGGUAAAAUCAAGCUGGCGAAUGACAAGAAGUGACUUAGUUCGCCAUAGGGAACAAUUUAAGUUUUCUUCCGCAUUUUUUUUGUUUCAGUACAUAAGUUUCAGCAUUUUAUUUUCGCAACUCAUCCAUUUUAUUUUCGUAACUCAUGAGUACUUUUAAAUAUUUUCUUUUAUUUUGAAUAGGGCCCGAACUAGUAUUUUAUCUAAUAUUUUAUUUAUUAUUUUCUUUUCAUACGUUACUUAUAU
rnacentral:lncRNA from 1 species